rnacentral:rRNA from 1 species
CCUACGGGGUGCUGCAGCGGGGGAUAUUGCACAAUGGGGGGAACCCUGAUGCAGCGACGCCGCGUGGGUGAAGAAGCGCCUCGGCGCGUAAAGCCCUGUCAGCAGGGAAGAAAAUGACGGUACCUGAAGAAGAAGCCCCGGCUAACUACGUGCCAGCAGCCGCGGUAAUACGUAGGGGGCAAGCGUUAUCCGGAUUUACUGGGUGGAAAGGGGGCGCAGACGGCGAUGCAAGCCAGGAGUGAAAGCCCGGGGCCCAACCCCGGGACUGCUCUUGGAACUGCGUGGCUGGAGUGCAGGAGGGGCAGGCGGAAUUCCUGGUGUAGCGGUGAAAUGCGUAGAUAUCAGGAGGAACACCGGUGGCGAAGGCGGCCUGCUGGACUGCAACUGACGUUGAGGCCCGAAAGCGUGGGGAGCAAACAGGAUUAGAUACCCCGGUAGUC